rnacentral:rRNA from 1 species
UACGAAGGGGGCUAGCGUUGCUCGGAAUUACUGGGCGUAAAGCGCACGUAGGCGGCUUUUUAAGUCGGAGGUGAAAUCCUGGAGCUCAACUCCAGAACUGCCUUCGAUACUGGAGAGCUCGAGUUCGGGAGAGGUGAGUGGAACUGCGAGUGUAGAGGUGAAAUUCGUAGAUAUUCGCAAGAACACCAGUGGCGAAAGCGGCGCGCUGGACCACAACUGACGCUGAGGAACGAAAGCUAGGGGAGCAAACAGG